rnacentral:rRNA from 1 species
AGCAGCCGCGGUAAUUCCAGCUCCAAUAGCGUAUAUUAAAGUUGUUGCAGUUAAAAAGCUCGUAGUUGAAUUUCGGGAUUAGUACGUUGGUCGUGCCUUCGGUACGUACUGGUGUUACUGAUUCCUACCUUCUGACGAACCAUCAUGUCAUUAAUUUGGUGUGGCGGGGAAUCAGGACUGUUACUUUGAAAAAAUUAGAGUGUUUAAAGCAGGCUCGCGCUUGAAUACAUUAGCAUGGAAUAAUGAAAUAGGACGUUGAUCCUAUUUUGUUGGUUUCUAGGAUUGACGUAAUGAUUAAUAGGGAUAGUUGGGGGCAUUAGUAUUCAAUUGUCAGAGGUGAAAUUCUUGGAUUUAUUGAAGACUAACUACUGCGAAAGCAUUUGCCAAGGAUGUUUUCAUUAAUCAAGAACGAAAGUUAGGGGAUCGAAGACGAUCAGAUACCGUCGUAGU